CAAUAGCGUAUAUUAAAGUUGUUGCGGUUAAAAAGCUCGUAGUUGGAUUUCUGCCGAGGACGACCGGUCCGCCCUCUGGGUGAGCAUCUGGCUCGGCCUGGGCAUCUUCUUGGAGAACGUAUCUGCACUUGACUGUGUGGUGCGGUAUUCAGGACUUUUACUUUGAGGAAAUUAGAGUGUUUCAAGCAGGCACACGCCUUGAAUACAUUAGCAUGGAAUAAUAAGAUAGGACCUCGGUUCUAUUUUGUUGGUUUCUAGAUCUGAGGUAAUGAUUAAUAGGGAUAGUUGGGGGCAUUCGUAUUUAACUGUCAGAGGUGAAAUUCUUGGAUUUGUUAAAGACGGACUACCGCGAAAGCAUUUGCCAAGGAUGUUUUCAUUGA
rnacentral:rRNA from 1 species